GAAGGAGUCGGGGAGCGGAGGCGGGGGGGGUGUCUGCCUUUUAACCCUCCCCAAGAGGUCGUGCCUCUGAGCCCCAAAGCUGAAGGCCCCUCUUGGGGGUGGGUGCGGGCCGGAGGGGCCCGAUCCUUUCAGAGCCGGGCCGAGGUGAAGGAAAAGAAGGAAGCAAGAAGAGCCAUUUGGAGUUAGAGGUCUCAGCUGUGAAGCCAGAACAAUAAAAAUAAAAACAGCGCGGACUCCUGGGCAGCCUGGACCAGGGAACCAACUGCCCCAAGAGUUGCUGCUCACCAGGCUGGAAGAAAAUUCUCAAACUACAGGAAGUGGAGAGAACAGUACAGUGACCCUACACGCUUGUUACCAGCCUCACCUGUCACCCACAUGGAGUCCUUCCCAUUCGUGGGGUUUCCAGGUAUGUGCCUGUCCCAGGGAGGCCAUGUG
rnacentral:lncRNA from 1 species